rnacentral:rRNA from 1 species
AUUGAACGCUGGCGGCAGGCCUAACACAUGCAAGUCGAACGGUAACAGGAAGCAGCUUGCUGCUUCGCUGACGAGUGGCGGACGGGUGAGUAAUGUCUGGGAAGCUGCCUGAUGGAGGGGGAUAACUACUGGAAACGGUAGCUAAUACCGCAUAAUGUCGCAAGACCAAAGAGGGGGACCUUCGGGCCUCUUGCCAUCGGAUGUGCCCAGAUGGGAUUAGCUUGUUGGUGGGGUAACGGCUCACCAAGGCGACGAUCCCUAGCUGGUCUGAGAGGAUGACCAGCCACACUGGGACUGAGACACGGUCCAGACUCCUACGGGAGGCAGCAGUGGGGAAUAUUGCACAAUGGGCGCAAGCCUGAUGCAGCCAUGCCGCGUGUAUGAAGAAGGCCUUCGGGUUGUAAAGUACUUUCAUCGGGGAGGAAGGGAGUAAAGUUAAUACCUUUGCUCAUUGACGUUACCCGAAGAAGAAGCACCGGCUAACUCCGUG